rnacentral:rRNA from 1 species
GAUGAACGCUGGCGGCGUGCUUAACACAUGCAAGUCGAACGGAAAGGCCCAAGCUUGCUUGGGUACUCGAGUGGCGAACGGGUGAGUAACACGUGGGUGAUCUGCCCUGCACUUCGGGAUAAGCCUGGGAAACUGGGUCUAAUACCGGAUAGGACCACUUCUUGGAUGUUGUGGUGGAAAGAUUUUUCGGUGUGGGGUGUGGUCGCGGCCUAUCACCGUUUUUGGGUGGGGUUGGCCUACCCAGGGGUCGACGGGGAGACCGCCCGUGAGGGUGUGCCGGCCCACUGGGGGUCAGAUACGGGGCAGACUCCCACGCGGGGCAGAAGUGGGGAAUAUUGCACAAAGGGCGCGAGCCUGAGGCAGCGACGCCGCGUGGGGGAGGACGGCGUUCUGGGUGUAAACACCUUUCUCUAGUGACGAAGCGUUUUUGUGACGGUACCGGGAGAAGAAGCACCGGCUAACUACGUG